UUUGACGCACGUUGCGCCUGCACAGCCAUUCACGGUAUGAAGGCACGUCUGCCUGGGCGUCACGC
rnacentral:rRNA from 1 species